rnacentral:rRNA from 1 species
AUACGUAGGGGGCGAGCGUUGUCCGGAAUGAUUGGGCGUAAAGGGCGCGUAGGCGGCGCGGUAAGUCUGGAGUGAAAGUCCUGCUUUCAAGGUGGGAAUUGCUUUGGAUACUGCCGCGCUUGAGUGCAGGAGAGGUUAUCGGAAUUCCCGGUGUAGCGGUGAAAUGCGUAGAGAUCGGGAGGAACACCAGUGGCGAAGGCGGGUAACUGGACUGCAACUGACGCUGAGGCGCGAAAGUGUGGGAAGCAAACAGGAUUAGAUCCCCGGGUAGUCCACGCCGUAAACGAUGAAUACUAGGUGUAGGGGGUAUCGACUCCCUCUGUGCCGCAGUUAACACAAUAAGUAUUCCGCCUGGGGAGUACGGCCGCAAGGUUGAAACUCAAAGGAAUUGACGGGG